ACACGUAGGGGGCGAGCGUUGUUCGGAAUCAUUGGGCGUAAAGGGCGUGCAGGCGGUCCUGCAAGUCCGGCGUGAAAGACCCCGGCCCAACCGGGGGGACGCGCUGGAAACUGCGGGGCUUGAGUACAGGAGGGGAUGCCGGAAUUCCAGGUGUAGGGGGGAAAUCUGUAGAUAUCUGGAAGAACACCAAUGGCGAAGGCAGGCAUCUGGCCAUGUACUGACGCUGAGACGCGAAGGUGCGGGGAGCAAACAGGUUUAGACACCCUGGUAGUCCGCACAGUAAACGAUGUGCACCAGGUGGCGGGGGGUCGACCCUCGGUACCGUAGCUAACGCAUUAAGUGCACCGCCUGGGGAGUAUGCUCGCAAGGGUGAAACUCAAAUGAAUUGACGGGG
rnacentral:rRNA from 1 species